GUAAACAGCCGGGGCCGGCUGCGGGCACCUGCAAUCCCCGACCCCCGACGCCCUCCCCGAGACCCUGGAGACGCGGCUCCGCCCCCACCGGUAAUUGGGAGAUUUUCAAGGCCGAUGUCCCCAAAGCCCAGCUCAGCUGGAGAGAUCAGCCCUGCGGUCCUGCCGCGCACUCCACCGCCAGCCUCUCGGGAGUCAAGGGAUCCGCCUUCAGGGUGAAUUGGGGUUCCACCAUGUAACCUUCAUGGAGCUUUCGUUAGCCUUGUUUGGGAUAUAAAGGGAUAAGUGUCCCCUGAUUUUAGAGAAAGAUUAAGAGCCAGUGAACAGGAUUUCCCAGCCAGGGACGUGGAGCAGGGCACCUGCAGAUGGUCCACGUGCUCGUGGCUAAUGGCAGCCCGCCUCCGGGAGGGGCCUGCGCACCUUUCCCCCAGGAGGAGGGAAGGACCCAAUCAUUAUCCAGAGUCAACAGGCCUUUGCACAGGCUGUUCCUACUGCCUGGAUGCUCGUCCCUUUGGCUCACUCCCUCACUUCCUGCCCAAAUGUCAUCUCCAUGAGAUCGCCCUGGAAACCCAGGACUACCUUCCCACCUUCCACACUCCCUCACCCUCUUGCUAUAAUUUUCUCUG
rnacentral:antisense_RNA from 1 species